UACGUAGGGUGCGAGCGUUGUCCGGAAUUAUUGGGCGUAAAGGGCUCGUAGGCGGUUUGUCGCGUCGGGAGUGAAAACUCAGGGCUUAACCCUGAGCCUGCUUCCGAUACGGGCAGACUAGAGGUAUGCAGGGGAGAACGGAAUUCCUGGUGUAGCGGUGAAAUGCGCAGAUAUCAGGAGGAACACCGGUGGCGAAGGCGGUUCUCUGGGCAUGUUCUGACGCUGAGGAGCGAAAGUGUGGGGAGCGAACAGG
rnacentral:rRNA from 1 species